rnacentral:rRNA from 1 species
AACGAACGCUGGCGGCAUGCCUAACACAUGCAAGUCGAACGAGACCUUCGGGUCUAGGGGCGCACGGGUGCGUAACGCGUGGGAACCUGCCCUUAGGUUCGGAAUAACUCCCCGAAAGGGGUGCUAAUACCGGAUAAUGUCUUCGGACCAAAGAUUUAUCGCCUUUGGAUGGGCCCGCGUGGGAUUAGCUAGUUGGUAGGGUAAAAGCCUACCAAGGCGACGAUCCAUAGCUGGUCUGAGAGGAUGAUCAGCCACACUGGGACUGAGACACGGCCCAGACUCCUACGGGAGGCAGCAGUGGGGAAUAUUGGACAAUGGGCGAAAGCCUGAUCCAGCACUGCCGCGUGAGUGCUGAAGGCCUUAGGGUUGUAAAGCUCUUUUACCCGGGAUGAUAAUGACAGUACCGGGAGAAUAAGCUCCGGCUAACUCCGUG